GCUCAUGUGGUCCAGUUGGUUAGGACACCCCCCAUUGCCGAAGUGCUGCCGAAGUGCUGGGUGUAGUAACGGUGGUUCGAUCCCAUCCAUGGGCA